AUUCACGGGUUUGUUUAUUAUAUGGUGCAAUCCCAGAUUUAUAAGAGGGGUUUCACAUGUACAAACAAAUGCUACUGAAUCCUAGGAAAUCAUUAUUCGAUUAGAAUAUUAGUGAUAAGUAGAAAUUUAGAAACCAUUUCAAAAUCUUCCUUCAAUAUGAAUGAACUGAGUCAUAAAAAUUUUAAGCAUUUUUUAAUAUGAGUUAAAACAUAUGAGCUAGUAUCUCUAUUUAUUGUGCUCUACUCUUUUCUAAGUAUUUCCGGCAGGUCAAUUAAUUUUUUUUUACGAAGAUGUAGUUGAUUUACAAUGUCGUGCCCAUUUCUUCUGUCCAGCAAAGUGACUCAUGAUAUGUGUAUGUUAUUUUUUAUAUUACUUUCCAUUGUGGUCUAUUCAGGAGAUUGGAUAUAGCUCCCUGUGCCAUGCAGUAGGACCUUAUUGUUUAUCCAUUCUAAAGGUAAUAGUUUGCAUCUACUAACCCCAAACUCCCAGUCCAUCCCACUCCUUCCCCUCACCCCCUUGGCAACCACAAGUCUGUUCUCUUUAUCUGUGAGUCUGUUUCCAAUUAAUUGUUAAUCUACACAAUUAACCACAAACUAUCUGUACAUCUCCCUAUUUUUCAAGCAGGAAAUUAGACAUAAGCAAUACUAAAUAGUACACUCAAGGUCAUGAGUGAUGUAAGUCGUAAGUGAUGGAGCUAAUUUAAAUUUAAACACAUGCUCAGAUUUGUAUCCUCCUACGUCAUUAACUUGUGUCAUGAUGAAAUGUACUUAUUAGUUAAAAAAAAUCCAAAAUUAGGCCUUUGAUCUCCUGAAUAAGUUCAGUAUUCUGUUCCUCUUAUGAUAUGAUCCACUUAUAAUCAGUUGCUGUGUAUGUAUUGCAAUGUGGAAGGCAUUUCUAGGUCUUGAAAUAUGUAAAUAUGUUGGAACAUAGUCAUGUGUGUACAGACAUUAAUAUAGAUGAUUGUGAUGGGUGAGAAAAGAAAAGCAUUUAAUUAGUGCUAUGGAAGAGACAAGAUCGAGUGAGAAAAAAGAAUCAUAUAGUUAGCGGUAUAGAAGAGACGAAAUCACUCUUCAGUUAUGAUUGAAGAGCAGAAACUUUAAGAAAAGAUAUGACUUAUGUUAAAUUAAAUCUCAGGAAACAGACUAUCAUGGUCAGAAAGAGAGGUGUGAGAGUAGCAUAUGUUCAGAGACCAGCUAGGAUCAGUAGGUCAGAGUCAGUGGGCAAAACGUCAACAGAUGAACUUGGAACAGUGGAACACGGCAGACUGAGGAGGCCACUGCGUGCAAUUUGGGGGUGUUUAGGUUUUUUUUUCUUGUAGUAAUGAGCAACUAUUGUAGGUAUAGGAGCUGCUCAAGGAGGGACAUGACACAAUUCAGUUAUUGCAAGUUUUAUAAAUAUGUUUAAAAUUACAUGGAAGAUGUGUCAGAUGUGGAAAGCCUAAUAUUUUUCAACGCCAAGACUCAUUAACAGAAUACUUAAAGAAAAUCUAUUGCUUUGACCUUCUUAUUAAGUUUUUAAAAGUGAGAACUCAUUUGCUUUGUAAGAUUCUGAUGAUAAAAAUCUCAUUUCUUUAUUCAUAAAUUAUGUCUUUAGGUAGGGUCUGGAGCAAAUCAGUAUUAUCCAAAGCUUAAGGUGACAACAUACUUACUGAAAGGCGGUGGGCUACUUAAUUUAUAAAACUGAAACACAGUAACAGUAAAAUAUGAAAUCAUUUCUUAAAACUUUUUUUCCAUUCAUGUCUGUGUCUGUUGAUGAACUAACAAAUUUGCCAAGACAAAAAAUCAUCUUGUAGAAAAUCUUGUUUAGUUUUCACUUGUAUUCUAGGGAAAAAAUAUUUUGCAUAUAUGUGAGUUCUAUCUUACUAUGUCAUCGUGUUUACACCUAAAUUUAUUUAAUCUCUGUUACUUCUCAAACAAAUCAAAAAUCCCAUAAUUUCCAGUUAGGUCCGUGAGAUGAAUGGAUUUUAUGGAACUUACAUGUAUCUAAUUAAAUGCAAGUGCUGUCUACUAUUUACAUUUUAAAAUCACUGAAAUAGUAGUGAAUAUUCGAAGCAUAAGGAUACUUAGUUAUUAAAUAUUAAUUUUAGGUCAAGGUAGGCACAGCUAGAUAUAAUUUGGCUUUUAGGUUGAUGGGUAACAUUUUCCCAUUGAAAUAUACUAAGCCAUAAAUGAUGCAGUGUCUCAAUAUAUGUGAUUAUUACCUAUCACUCUACACAGUAAUUUGAUUUUCCAUUAUCACUAAAUAAAAAAUACAUUUGAAAGAUUAAUUAAGUAAACUUUUCUGAAAAUGAAUUUAAAACAUUUUUUUUCUAUUCAGUCUUUUUUUGGUGACCGUUCAUAGCCCUUUCUUACUUAGAAAGAAAGGUGUCUUCCUUCUGUAAAAUCCGCAAUGUGAUGGAAUUGCAUUUUGCUAAUUAAUUCUUCUUAUAGAUUCUGCUUUUCAAUCUCGCUAUGCUUUAAGGUCACAGUUAUGAGUAUCCCAUCCAGCCAUUUACUCAUUAGAAUUUGUAUAGCGCACUAUGCCAGGCCUUAAGGGUAGAAAAACAAAGAAAUUCAUAGAAUUGUUCUGGGAGGGAGAACUAACAAAUAAAUGAGUUAUAAAACUCUCUCUGCUCAGAGCUGGUGGAGAAGGAGCAGAGAAGACACAGCGACGUUUAGCCUGAUCCUUUCAUACGUGCACAUCACUUCUUCAGUUUACUACCUUCAUGGACCGCAAAAGACCGCAGAGUAACGCGUAGCAUACAUCUCUCCCUCAUUAACAUUUUGUCUGUAACUAUUCCAGAGGAAAAACAGAGACACGUCUGGGGUAUGUCUGUAUGCAAAAGCUUCUUUCUCUUCUUUUGUUUGCUUGUUUGUUUUUCGGCCGCACCCACAGCAUAUGGAAGUUCCGGGCCAGGGAUUGAAUCCCAGCUGCAGCUGCGACCUACACAGCAGCCAUGGCAACCCCAGAUCCUUUAACCCACUGUGCUGGACUGGAAACUGAACCCAUGCCUCUGCCACCUCUUUCUAUUUGCAGCAUAAUUACCCAUGAUGUGUAAUGCGUUCAUGCUGUGAGGUGAAUACUUCCUUUGUAUGUAUUUUUAGAAGCCCUCCAACUAGAACUAUUUGGUACUCGAGUCUAAAAUAUCUCCGUGUCCUACUAAGCACAAUUUUCUUCCCCCUUCUCCUCUUCACUCCAUCACUUGCCCUUUAUUCCUGUCCAUUACUGGUCCAACUCCAAACCCCUCUGCUUCCUUUUAACCAGUGGUGAUUACACCACUUAUCACAAACUGUAUACAGUUUACUCACUUCUGUCUUUGUUGUUCUCUCUACAGUACGAUGCACAAUAACUGUUGUCUCUCUCACCAGUCACAUUUCUAGUACCAAUCCAUUGGUAAAUUGACUUAAUCAUAUUUCAUGGUCUGAGGAUCAAUGAUGAACUGAUUAUCAACAAAAUGUUUAAAUAUUUUUAAAAAGAAGGGAGUUCCUGUCGUGGCUCAGGGGUUAACGAACCCAACUUGCAUCCACAAGGACGUGAGUUUGAUCCCUGGCCUGGCCUCUCUCAGUGGGUUAAGGAUCUGGCAUUACCAUGAGCUGUGGUGUAGGUUAAAGAUGCAACUCUGAUCCUAUGUUGCUGUGGCUCUGGUGUAGGCCAGUGGCUACAACUCAUAUUGGACCCCUAGCUUGGGGACCUCCAUAUGCCUUGGGUGCAGACUUAAAAAGACAAAAAGACCCCCCCCCCAAAAAAUGAAAUAAAGAUAUAUUAAGUAACCUCAGUUUCACAACCAUAUUAUUCAUUCAUCAACAUGUGGACCUGUUACAGUUUAUGUGAAUUUUUAUUUAUUCUGGUUCGCAAAGAAUAGCGAAGAGAAGUUGCUGUGGAAGUUCAGAAAUUGGUUUCCUCAAUCUUUUCAGGCAAGAAAAUAUAAACUGUUAUAAAAAUUUUGCAAGGCAACUGUGGCCAUUUUCUAAUUACUUUUAAUAUGCCUGGAUUUCAUCUCUCUUCUCUCCAGCAGCGGAAGAGCAUAUAGAACUAUCUUCGUCUCUUCAAAGAGGAUUCCUCUUUCCUUUGCAAAAGUGUAUGAGCCAGUGAAGGGGAAAAAAUGUUUUAGAAUAAAACAAGCACAUAAACAUUUUUUAUUUGCUUUUC
rnacentral:lncRNA from 1 species